rnacentral:rRNA from 1 species
GCCUCGUGAAUUCAUCUCCGGGGGUAGAGCACUGUUUCGGCAAGGGGGUCAUCCCGACUUACCAACCCGAUGCAAACUACGAAUACCGGAGAAUGUUAUCACGGGAGACACACGGCGGGUGCUAACGUCCGUCGUGAAGAGGGAAACAACCCAGACCGCCAGCUAAGGUCCCAAAGUCAUGGUUAAGUGGGAAACGAUGUGGGAAGGCCCAGACAGCCAGGAUGUUGGCUUAGAAGCAGCCAUCAUUUAAAGAAAGCGUAAUAGCUCACUGGUCGAGUCGGCCUGCGCGGAAGAUGUAACGGGGCUAAACCAUGCACCGAAGCUGCGGCAGCGACGCUUAUGCGUUGUUGGGUAGGGGAGCGUUCUGUAAGCCUGCGAAGGUGUGCUGUGAGGCAUGCUGGAGGUAUCAGAAGUGCGAAUGCUGACAUAAGUAACGAUAAAGCGGGUGAAAAGCCCGCUCGCCGGAAGACCAAGGGUUCCUGUCCAACGUUAAUCGGGGCAGGGUGAGUCGACCCCUAAGGCGAGGCCGAAAGGCGUAGUCGAUGGGAAACAGGUUAAUAUUCCUGUACUUGGUGUUACUGCGAAGGGGGGACGGAGAAGGCUAUGUUGGCCGGGCGACGGUUGUCCCGGUUUAAGCGGGUAGGCUGGUUUUCCAGGCAAAUCCGGAAAAUCAAGGCUGAGGCGUGAUGACGAGGCACUACGGUGCUGAAGCAACAAAUGCCCUGCUUCCAGGAAAAGCCUCUAAGCAUCAGGUAACAUCAAAUCGUACCCCAAACCGACACAGGUGGUCAGGUAGAGAAUACCAAGGCGCUUGAGAGAACUCGGGUGAAGGAACUAGGCAAAAUGGUGCCGUAACUUCGGGAGAAGGCACGCUGAUAUGUAGGUGAAGUCCCUCGCGGAUGGAGCUGAAAUCAGUCGAAGAUACCAGCUGGCUGCAACUGUUUAUUAAAAACACAGCACUGUGCAAACACGAAAGUGGACGUAUACGGUGUGACGCCUGCCCGGUGCCGGAAGGUUAAUUGAUGGGGUCAGCGCAAGCGAAGCUCUUGAUCGAAGCCCCGGUAAACGGCGGCCGUAACUAUAACGGUCCUAAGGUAGCGAAAUUCCUUGUCGGGUAAGUUCCGACCUGCACGAAUGGCGUAAUGAUGGCCAGGCUGUCUCCACCCGAGACUCAGUGAAAUUGAACUCGCUGUGAAGAUGCAGUGUACCCGCGGCAAGACGGAAAGACCCCGUGAACCUUUACUAUAGCUUGACACUGAACAUUGAGCCUUGAUGUGUAGGAUAGGUGGGAGGCUUUGAAGUGUGG